rnacentral:rRNA from 1 species
CUACCCGGGUAUCUAAUCCUGUUUGCUCCCCACGCUUUCGUGCCUCAGCGUCAGUGACUGUCCAGCAAGCCGUCUACACCACGGGUGUUCCUCCUGAUAUCUACGCAUUUCACCGCUACACCAGGAAUUCCGCUUGCCUCUCCAGUACUCGAGCGACCCAGUUUCCGGCGCACCCUCCCGGUUGAGCCGGGAGAUUUCACACCAGACUUGGGCCACCGCCUACGCACGCUUUACGCCCAGUAACUCCGAACAACGCUCGCUGCCUACGUAUUACCGCGGCUGCUGGCAC